rnacentral:sRNA from 1 species
UGUUCUACGAGAGAUGGAGACGGGGCGAGGUUGAGAACUCUGAGGCAUACACAGCAAGCCUCAAAGCUUCAGUUGUGAGUAUAUAACCGAAUUUAGAUAAUGUAUUGCAGUUGGAUUAAAUACCUGACUCUUGUUGUGUCAA